rnacentral:lncRNA from 1 species
ACAGAGUUCUUUCAUCCCUUUCUUUGAAUUUUUUAAGCUUGGUUUCCUUCACGGUCUUUUAAGCAGAGUGAUCAUUUCAAGCUCUGUACUCUUCCUUUUUCUAUUCUUUCUUCAUUUCUUAUCAAACCAUAGUGUACGAGCAAAGAGAAAAAUUCCUGCGGAGUUCAAGAGAUUUUGUAGUAUUGUGCACGUCUACAAAAUCAACGGUCCGUUGUAUCUUAGGAAGGGAUCGCCAGAAUUCGGUGCAUAUAAGGAGGCGAAUCUCUUUCAAAGACAGUGACUACACGCCUCGGACCGAUCUACAGGUAUUAUCUAUUUUAUUUUGGAUCUAAAGAAAACGACAUCAAAGAGGUAUGCAUUGGAAUCAGUUGUUUCAGUGAUAUUAAAUUAUUUAAGUUUUAUUUGAGUUCUUUGAGUUGAUUAUUCCAAC